GAUGAACGCUGGCGGUAUGCUUAACACAUGCAAGUCGAACGGUCACUUCGGUGAUAGUGGCGGACGGGUGGGGAACGCGUGGGAAUCUGUCUUCAGGUCGGGGACAACAGUUAGAAAUGACUGCUAAUACAGGAUGUGCCUUUGGGUGAAAGAUUUAUUGCCUGAAAAAGAGGUCGCGUCAGAUUAGCGAGUAGGUGGUGUAAGAGACUACCUAGGCUCCGAUCUGUAGCUGGUCUGAGAGGACGACCAGCCACACUGGAACUGAGACACGGUCCAGACUCCUACGCGAGGGAGCAGUGGGGUAUUUUCCGGAAGGGGCGAAAGUCUGACGGAGCAACACCGCGUGAGGGACGAAGGCGUUUGUGUAGUAAACCUCUUUUCUCAAGGAAGAUGAUGACGGUACUUGAUGAAUAAGCACCGGCUAACUCCGUG
rnacentral:rRNA from 1 species